UCAGUCGCUCUCCUUACUCUCCUCGCUUUGAAUUGUACGGAGCUUUCAAAUUUCAAUUGGUUUUUGGAGAAAGCUCAGAAGCUACAAGCUACAACUUGAAGGCACCAAUUAAACAACAUAGUUUGCAAUUCAGCGAUUAGAUUUCAAUUGAUGGGAAGUUGUAAACCUAAUCGAGAAGAGAAGGAAGAAGAUGUAUGUGGGUAAUUGGGUUUUAAUCUGAGAAAGAAGAAGAUGAAUUUAGGUAAUCGGUUUGCAAUUCCUUUUCUUUCUCUUUUUACCUCAGUUACGUUUAAUCGAUUGAAUCGGAUGGUUGGUUUUUGUGGUAUUGUGGUUUAAUUUGCAAUGCUUUUUCACGUCUUCAGAUAUCCUAGAAUGGUGCUCUAAUUGAUUUCCCAGCUACUAGCCGAGGAUUAAAGCAGAAAGUGGAAUUGAAGGUCAGCAUAAUUUCAAUAAAUGUUGACAGUCCUUAACAAGAUGCUUUGAAGGUUAUUCAUGAACUCAGUUCAGUUUUCUUUUUCCAUCAUGGAUAAGUCCUGGUAUGUAAUUAAAAAGAUGAACUUUCUUCUUCAAAACUUCUUUUCUGUUGGGUGCAUGCUUCGAUCUGCUAAGAAAGAAAGCUAUAGUAAAUGUAAGAGGAAAGAGGAAAUCUUAUAAUUAACUUUCCAGCUUUUAGUGCUUUGUUUUUGGUUUGAAUUUCUAUCUAAUGAAGAAGGGAAAAGGUACUUUGCCUGGUCUUGAUUCCCUUCGUGGCCAUCUAAGGACUUGGUGGCUUUAGCUCACAACUUGAUUCAUCUCCAGCGGCCUCUUUUAGACCUAAGUGGAUAUAUGUGAAACUAUAAGCUAUUAAUUUUAAUUUUGUUGUGAUUCGAUUCAAGGCAAAUGCCACACCAGACUUUGCAGAACAAAUUGAAAAAUUCUGAAAAUUCCAUCAUUAUACUCGAAAUAGUGGAUUUAGCUCUAGCUAAUUGUUACUGUAUAGUUUGUGCAUUUGAAUGGGAAAUAAUCAAUCCUUGAGUCUUUUCUUCUCUUUGGUAACUAAAUUUUCAGAUUCAUUUCAUUAGCUUGGAUGAAAAGAAGUUUGGUGUCAAAGUUUGAUCUAUGGAAUUGGUGGAAGUUGAUAGAAUGCUUCUGUGAUUUCAUUUUUUGUUAUUGUAUGGACUUAGUGGCUUUAGCUCACAGCCUCACAACUUCAUCCAUCUCUAGCAGCCUUUUUCAUUAAAACUUUAACCUUUUAAUUUUCCUUUCGUUGUGAUUCAAGUCAAGGUAAAUGCAGUGCCAGACUGUGUUGUUUUUAAUGUAAAAACUGAGCGGAUAUUGUUUUUGCUUUGGCUUUGCUUUGGAUAUAGGUAUAACAGCCACUGGAGCAAGGAUUGGAGCAUAAGCUAAAUGCUUGACCUCUUUAUGAUAUUCUUACUGUAGUCUGUAAAAACAACAUUUCAGCUAUAGAAAUAACAUUUCUGCUGUAGAUGUUUUUGCGCUCUUUUGUUCCUGUAAGUUGGUAAUCGUUAUUUGUUGAGCCUCAAAAUUGAGAAGAAAGAAGUUUCUGUUAAUUCUUU